rnacentral:tRNA from 1 species
GAAAACUUAGGUUAAUUAAACCAAGGGCCUUCAAAGCCCUAAAUAAGGCCGCCCAGUCUUAGUUUUUG